rnacentral:rRNA from 1 species
GUAACGCGUAUCCAACCUCCCUAUAGUAGUGGAUAGCCCGGCGAAAGUCGGAUUAAUACACUAUGUUAUUCAACGAGGACAUCUGAAAUGAAUCAAAGGUUUACCGCUAUAGGAUGGGGAUGCGUCUGAUUAGAUAGUAGGCGGGGUAACGGCCCACCUAGUCGACGAUCAGUAGGGGUUCUGAGAGGAAGGUCCCCCACAUUGGAACUGAGACACGGUCCAAGCUCCUACGGGAGGCAGCAGUGAGGAAUAUUGGUCAAUGGACGGGAGUCUGAACCAGCCAAGUAGCGUGCAGGAUGACGGCCCUAUGGGUUGUAAACUGCUUUUAUACGGGGAUAAAGUGAGCCACGUGUGGCUUUUUGUAGGUACCGUAUGAAUAAGGACCGGCUAAUUCCGUGCCAGCCGCAGC